AUUGAACGCUGGCGGCAGGCCUAACACAUGCAAGUCGAGCGGAGCGGCGGACGGGCGAGUAAUGCCUAGGAGUCUGCCUGGGAGUGGGGGAUAACGUCCGGAAACGGGCGCUAAUACCGCAUACUAUCAGAUAAGCCUAGGUCGGAUUAGCUAGUUGGUGGGGUAAAGGCCCACCAAGGCGACGAUCCGUAACUGGUCUGAGAGGAUGAUCAGUCACACUGGAACUGAGACACGGUCCAGACUCCUACGGGAGGCAGCAGUGGGGAAUAUUGGACAAUGGGCGCAAGCCUGAUCCAGCCAUGCCGCGUGUGUGAAGAAGGUCUUCGGAUUGUAAAGCACUUUAAGUUGGGAGGCGUUACCAACAGAAUAAGCACCGGCUAACUCCGUGCCAGCAGCCGCGGUAAUAC
rnacentral:rRNA from 1 species